rnacentral:rRNA from 1 species
AGUCGACGGAUCCUUCGGGAUUAGUGGCGGACGGGUGAGUAACACGUGGGAACGUGCCCUUUGGUUCGGAACAACUCAGGGAAACUUGAGCUAAUACCGGAUGUGCCCUUCGGGGGAAAGAUUUAUCGCCAUUGGAGCGGCCCGCGUCUGAUUAGCUAGUUGGUGGGGUAAAGGCCCACCAAGGCGACGAUCAGUAGCUGGUCUGAGAGGAUGAUCAGCCACAUUGGGACUGAGACACGGCCCAAACUCCUACGGGAGGCAGCAGUGGGGAAUCUUGCGCAAUGGGCGAAAGCCUGACGCAGCCAUGCCGCGUGAAUGAUGAAGGUCUUAGGAUUGUAAAAUUCUUUCACCGGGGACGAUAAUGACGGUACCCGGAGAAGAAGCCCCGGCUAACUUCGUGCCAGCAGCCGCGGUAAUACGAAGGGGGCUAGCGUUGCUCGGAAUUACUGGGCGUAAAGGGAGCGUAGGCGGACUGUUAAGUUAGAGGUGAAAGCCCAGGGCUCAACCUUGGAAUUGCCUUUGAUACUGGCAGUCUUGAGUACGGAAGAGGUAUGUGGAACUCCGAGUGUAGAGGUGAAAUUCGUAGAUAUUCGGAAGAACACCAGUGGCGAAGGCGACAUACUGGUCCGUUACUGACGCUGAGGCUCGAAAGCGUGGGGAGCAAACAGGAUUAGAUACCCUGGUAGUCCACGCCGUAAACGAUGAGUGC